CCUACGGGUGGCAGCAGUGAGGAAUAUUGGUCAAUGGGCGAGAGCCUGAACCAGCCAAGUCGCGUGAAGGAUGACGGCCCUACGGGUUGGAAACUUCUUUUGUCAGGGAGCAAUUGGGUCCACGCGUGGGCUUAGCGAGAGGAACGGAAGAAGAAGCAUCGGAUAACUCCGUGACAGCAGCCGCUGUAAUACGGAGGAUGCGAGCGUUAUCCGGAUUUAUUGUGUGUAAAGGGUGCGUAGGCGGAAUAUCAAGUCAGCGGUAAAAAUUCGGGGUUCAACCCCAUCGGGCCGUUGAAAAUGAUGUUCUUGAGUGGGCGAGAAGUAUGCGGAAUGCGUGGUGUAGCGGUGAAAUGCAUAGAUAUCACGCAGAACUCCGAUUGCGAAGGCAGCAUACCGGCGCCCAACUGACGCUGAAGCACGAAAGCGUGGGUAUCGAACAGGAUUAGAUACCCCUGUAGUC
rnacentral:rRNA from 1 species